rnacentral:rRNA from 1 species
UACGUAGGUGGCAAGCGUUGUCCGGAAUUAUUGGGCGUAAAGCGCGCGCAGGCGGUCCUUUAAGUCUGAUGUGAAAGCCCACGGCUCAACCGUGGAGGGUCAUUGGAAACUGGGGGACUUGAGUGCAGAAGAGGAAAGCGGAAUUCCACGUGUAGCGGUGAAAUGCGCAGAUAUCAGGAGGAACACCAGUGGCGAAGGCGGUGCUCUGGGCCGGAACUGACGCUGAGGAGCGAAAGCGUGGGGAGCAAACAGG